UGAUCCCCGGUUAUCCUCCCAGUGUCCGGAAGAAGUGAAGACCUCCAGGACAUUGGAUGGAUGUCCUGUAGUCAACUCAUAUGGGAGGACACUGACAAGAGUCUUACAGUUAAGGCAGGCUCAGGGAAAAGGAAACCACCAAGAGCUUUUGAGCAAAGGACUGAUAUGGCCACAUUAGUGCACUGAAAAAGAUAAUUUUGGCAUCCUAGCCUGUCCAUCUGUCUUUUUUCCUGUCCUUA
rnacentral:lncRNA from 1 species